rnacentral:lncRNA from 1 species
CGGGGGGUUUGAGGAACGUUUGUGGCCUGAAAAAAAAUCCCUAACUGGACCAAACACCACCGCGUCCUCACCUGGAGGUUUUCUUUUGCAAAAGUGUCGGGUGAGGGCUGGAAAGCAAUUAAGAAGAGUGUGGAAAGUGCGAGUGCGGACGCUCCGGACGCGAGGGGCGGGGCGUGCGCGGGACAAAGGAAAACGAGGCCGGAGCUACGGGCGCUUUUUCUGCCCGCGGGUGAGUGUUUCCGACUGGGCCCGAUCGGGUCGGGAGGGUGGCGAGUCGCGGUGUCCCUGCUUGGCUGGACCUCGAGUUCCCGGGGGUUGCUGAGGUUCAGGCUGGGCCGCGGGGCCGGAGCUGGGGGCCGGUUGCGGCCUCCUUGAGGCCUAGCGGAGCCGGAGCCGGGAGGGAGUUCUAUCUCGGGCCCCUCCUCGGCGGCAAGAUUUGCCCCUGCCACUAGCCCCGCCAAACUGGUCAAGGCACCCAUGCAUUCCCUUCUUUAGUGGAGUUGCUGGUGAAGUGCCUUCUCCACAACAACCUAAAGGAAACGACCUCAGGGGAAGCCCUGGGGCGAGCCAAGCCCUUGGUCCCUCCCCCCCAGGAAGGUGGUUUCCCUGUGUUUCGGCAACGACCGAGGAACUUGUGGCUUAGAGUGGAGAGCGAGAGCUCUGAAACAGUUUGGCCUGGGUUUGAAACCCGGCUCUGGCACUUCCUGGCUGUGUGGCUUUAGACAAGUUACUUAAACUCGCCGAGACUCCCAUUAUUCCUGUGUAAAGUGGGUUAUCAAUACAUACCUCGUAGGGUAGUUGUGACCAUGAACCGAAAUAAGUGAUAAGCCUGCCCCGUAUAAAGUGUUCAACAAAUAGCUAGUAUUUUAUGCCAGGCACGGGGGAUGGAUCCAGUGGCAGACAAAUGUACAAGCUCACGCUUAGAAUUUAUAGUAGCAGACGAGAGCAAUAAUUUAAAAAUAUUAGCAAUAAAGUGUGAUGUACCAGGGAGCUUUGCCAAUUAUUGUCAGGGAUCCCCGCAGCAAGGCCUUCUGGAUGUUGACAGUGCCUCCACCCACACCCCACCCACUCCCUAUUGUGAGCGCAAGGAAAUCUAUCUGCACCGGAGUCCAUGGUUUCUGCCCCUUCCUUAAGAGGGAGAGACCCAGGUUGGGCCAUUGAAAAAUUUCUUUCCACACAGUCCUCUUAUUCCUUAUGCUCCAGGGAAUUCCCUUAAAAUGUAGAAUAGAAGCAAAAGCAUCAUGCUUGUUUUCACGUAAUGUUUCAUGAAAGUAUUCCAGUAGUCAUAGAAGUUAUUUGCUUCUUUUUUAAAAAUGAAUGCUUGUCUCUUUGUACACAUCGUGUGUGAUGUAUUUUGAUGUGAGGAACAAGCUCACGCGGGUAUGGUCUUGUUCUGAGCUGGUAAUAUUAGGACAAAAUGUAUUAAGAAUUGAGCUAGGUGCUGGGACUGCAAUAAUGAGUUAGAUGGUCUCUAUUCCACAGUCUAGCCAUAUUAACAGGUAUGAUACAUUGUAAUGAACAAUAUUAUAGAUCUGUAAAUUGGAUAGGAGUACAGAUGAGGAAGCAAUUCAUUCUUCCCGGGUAAUUUAUCAUGAAAUUUAUCAUGAAGAUAAUUUAUCAUUAUCUUCCACUGUGGAGAUAAUAUUUUGAAAUGGGCUGUGAAGGGUUAAUAAGAGUUUCUCAGGUAGACUCUCAAAGUUAUUCCCAGGAGAGAUAAAGUUAUUUGCCACCAUUAGAGAACGUAAAGCUCAUGAUCAUACCAGUUACCUUUUGCGUUGCCUCCAGGAAUAAAAUGCUGCCUUGUUUUAAUAGAAGUUGUUAUUCUAAGAGGAAGGUAAAGCUGCUGUUCAUCAGUGAUCUGUCAGUAUCUGGUAGGCCUUGUUGGGGUGGGCCCUGAUAAUACAUCACAUUUUAUUGUCAUUGUAUUUUUAUCAGUUUAAUUAAAUGUUCACAUGGCAUUAGCAAUAUGUUUUCCAUGCAAGAGGUGGCCCAAUAUCAUAAGAAACUUGGAAGUCUAUGUCUAAUAUUAAUGCUAAUAUCCCCAGUAAUUUGUUUUAGUUGUUUAAUUCUGAUGAGCCAAAUGACCUAUAAGAACUAGUUUUAUGCAGAAAAUUGGAUUAUUAGAAGAUAGUGUAAUUUUACUAAGAAGUACCAAUUUAAACUACCCUAUUCUUUAGGGAAACAUCUCUUAUGCUUGCUGAGUUUUGAUUCUCUUUUUUUUUUUCUUUUUUUUUCUUUUUUUAUUUUAGUGUCUCAGAUUCAUUCUUAAGGAACUG